AAACUCCAGACACACAAAGUCUGAGUCCUGGAAGGAAAAUGAGAUCGGAGAAGAGUGAAAGGGAUGGGGGAAGGAGAAGGGAAAGGGUGUGCUGCUCUGCUGGCCUCAUUCUCAGUACCAGGGGAGCGGCAGACUGUCACAGAUCUGAGGGAAAUGGCACCGGAGCGACUGCUGACACCAGUAGCACCGGCAACUGAUCACCUGUACACGUUCAAUGGGCUUGAACCCCACAGUGACCCACAUCCACACAGUGCCACAUGCCCGUUCGGCUGGACAUGAGAAAACACAGCGAAUCACGGGGAUCUGGGCCUGGUUGGGUGUCUGUAGUAGUAUAUCCAUCCGUCYGACUCGUUGAAGAACUCUUCGUCCAGUUUGAGGUGAACAAUCGCAGUUCUGAUGUCCAGAAGCUCUUUCGGUCACAAGAGACGGUAGCAGCAACAUUAUGUACAAAACAAGUUACGAAAAAGGCAACAACAAAAAACUAGCCGAUAAGACGGCAGGCCUCCCCUCCAGCGCCAUUGUGUACAGAACAAGCAUUUCUAAUUGGAAUAGGUCCUGUUUGGUUACUAGUGAAGACAUUCCUGAUACUGUAUGUUGAAUGAUACAAGUGUUUAUCCUGUUCGGUUAAGUAUGUGCUGUUAUGCUAGCCAUGUGCGGAGGGGAAAAGCAUUGAGAAUGAACUACGUUGCAAACCAUCGAUGCACUCUAAAAGUGUUUAAGUUCUCAGAGAGCAUUAAUAGUAUGCAUGUGUUUAUGUUGCUUCUACACACUGUUWACAGCACAAUAAACAGAAUGAUAUGCUAUAUAGGCCUACACAGCAUACCUGGCACAAUUAACCGAGACAAUGGUUUGCUAAACACUGACAGGCGACUAACAUUUAUAAUACAAAAGGACUCAGAAGACACUGAAUACAAACUGUCAUUUUAGACACAUUACAGGUCAGACAGGUCAACCAAAAGACAACAGUAGGCCUAUCCAAAUCUAUCUUCCAUCACCAUUGUGUGCAUAGCCAAUAACCACCAACCACUCCCUACGACUGAAUACAGUAGUUUCUCAAGUCGGGCUGUGUCUCAAGUCAGGCAAUCUAUUCCUUAUAUAGUGAACUAUUUUUGAGGGCCAUAGGCUCUGAUCAAAAGUAGUGCACUAUGUAGGGAAUACAGGGUCAUUUGGGAUGCACACAGAGUUGGAAUGCUGACUCACUGUUGCUACACCCAUUAGUUUCUUCCGUAUUGGAGGCACCUAUGAGUCUACCAGAUCUGUCAUCAUAUAUUAGAGAACUMAUUUAAUGCACUCAAAAGGUCACGCGAAACGCUAAUGUAUUUGUUUACUGGAAAAACAAUAACAAGACAUGAGAUAACGAGAGCGCUGGCCAAAACGGAGCCAAGGCUUAUCGUGAGAUAUGAUACCCAAACCUGGUCUCAGAGCAUUUCUAAUUAUUCUGUAUGUAAAUCCGAUACAC